rnacentral:rRNA from 1 species
UACGGAGGGUGCAAGCGUUAUCCGGAUUCACUGGGUUUAAAGGGUGCGUAGGUGGGUAUGUAAGUCAGUGGUGAAAUCCCCGAGCUUAACUUGGGAACUGCCAUUGAUACUAUAUAUCUUGAAUAUCGCGUAGGUAAGCGGAAUAUGUCAUGUAGCGGUGAAAUGCUUAGAUAUGACAUAGAACACCAAUUGCGAAGGCAGCUUACUUCACGAUUAUUGACACUGAGGCACGAAAGCGUGGGGAGCAAACAGG